AUUGAACGCUGGCGGCAGGCCUAACACAUGCAAGUCGAGCGAGCGGCGGACGGGUGAGUAAUGUAUGGGGACUGCCCGAUAGAGGGGGAUAACUACUGGAAACGGUAGCUAAUACCGCAUACUAUCGGAUAACCCAUAUGGGAUUAGCUAGUAGGUGAGGUAAUGGCUCACCUAGGCGACGAUCCCUAGCUGUUCUGAGAGGAUGAUCAGCCGCAAGGGGACUGGGACACGGCGCAGAGUCCUACGGAGUCAGCAGUGGGGAAUAUUGCACAAGGGGCGCAAGCCUGAUGCAGCGAUGCCGCGUGUAUGAAGAAGGCCCGAGGGUUGUAAAGUACUGUCAGGCGGGAGGCGUUACCGACAGAAGAAGCACCGGCUAACUCCGUGCCAGCCGCCGCGGUAAUUC
rnacentral:rRNA from 1 species